AGGGUGAGGGGGUGGAGCCAGCCAGCCAGCCAGCCGGCGGCCGGGACAGUGGCUGCGUCUCCCUCGCUGUGUCCUUGACUGGCGCCCGGGCCCUGCCCUGCCCUGCCCUGCCUGCCUGCACCAUGUUCCGCGGAAUCUGCCAGCUCCGCAGAUGUGUGUCCAAAACUACUUCAACUUGGAGUUACCUAGCAAUCAAGCAAAAGCACACACUGCCUGAUCUCCCGUAUGAUUACGGUGCAUUGGAGCCACACAUCAGUGCGGAGAUAAUGCAGCUGCACCACAGCAAGCAUCAUGCCACCUAUGUCAACAACUUAAAUGUUGCAGAGGAGAAAUAUGCAGAGUCCCUGACAAAGGGUGAUGUCACAGCCCAGAUUGCUUUACAACCUGCAUUGCGAUUUAAUGGUGGCGGUCAUAUUAAUCACUCUAUCUUCUGGACUAAUCUGUCUCCAAGUGGAGGAGGGGAACCUGCUGGACAGCUAAUGGAAAUCAUCAAACGAGACUUUGGCUCCUUUGAGAAAUUUAAGGAGAUGAUGUCCACACUUUCAGUGGGGGUUCAGGGCUCAGGAUGGGGAUGGCUGGGAUACAACAAGAAUUCGGGAAGGUUACAGCUUGCAGCUUGUCCCAAUCAAGACCCACUGCAAGGAACAACAGGUCUAUGCCCUCUGCUUGGAAUAGAUGUGUGGGAGCAUGCGUACUAUCUGCAGUACAAGAAUGUCAGGGGUGACUAUCUAAAAGCUAUCUGGAAUGUUAUCAACUGGGAAAAUGUUGGAGAGAGACUCAAAGCUGCCAUGAAAUGAAUGGUCCUUGUGGGAGUGGAAGCAGCGAGGAGUCCUGCCAUUGCUUUGUUGGAAGGUGAUGCCUGAUCUGAGUUUCUCCAACAUCCAACAUUUUGUGUGUGUUACUGAGGUGAAAGGACAGAUGUUUCACCUCCUGCGUUACAAUUUCACACACUACACUGCAACUAGAGAACAUAAUGUUCACAGGAUACUGGGACUCGGUUAACUCAUCUGGUCACCCAUGAUGGCACCGCUUUGUGGACAGCUCACUAAGCUUCUCGGUAUACUUCUGCAGACCUAUUAUCACUGCAAUCUGCAGCCUGUACUUCCUCUUUAAGGGAUGUACUUUUGAACCGUCUAAAUGAGCUAGCAAUUUCAUGAUCUCCUGAAGGAUUCGGUGAACUUGACUCUAAGGAAUGCAGGUAUGGCCCCUGAAGCAAAUGAAGGGUUGACCAUUGGUGGGCUGGACUUCCAGACAGACUGUACAAUUAGGGUGUGAAACUGCCUAUCCCCAGCAUCCUGUUACCUGUUGUAAGUCACUGGUGAACAAGACAGAGGAGCAAACGGCAAAAUCGCUGUAUCAGAGGGAAAUGAGCGAUUGCUGCUUUCUCUGUUUCACGAAGACAUGGCUCACACUGAACAUGCUGGAUGUGGCUAUCCAGCCCUAGGGAUUCUUGUUCCAUCAGAUGGUCCGAUCUGCUGAUUUGAAGAAGGCAAGGGGUUGGGAAAAUGCUGGAGGAACUCAGCAGGACAGGUAACAUCUAUGGAAAUGACUGAACAGUCGAUGUUUUGGGUGGAGUCCCUUCUUCAGGGCUGCAGUGGGCUGUGUUUCAUGAUAAACUCACUAUGAUACUUAGAUAGGGUGGUCUUGUCACACUGUUGUUGUCCUGACCUGGAACAUCUAAUGAUUAAGUGCCAACUGUUCUAUUUACCAAGAGAGUUCUCUUCUGUAAUCCUGACCACAGUUUACUUAUUGCCAAAGGCAGGUGUCAAGCAAACACUCAAUGUAAUGAACUGUCGCAAUUAAGAAACACGAACCAGCCUACUCUGAUGUCUUUUACAUCUUACUGGUGUCUUCAAUCUGGCUAGCUUGAUGAAAUCUUUGCCCAAUUAUCAUCAACAUAUCAGCUGCAGCACCAGGGGUCCAACACACUCAAACAUUGCUAUCAUAAGGAAUGCCUAUCAUUCCUUCCUUAACCGCUGUAGUGUUCUCGCACAGGUGUAAAAGAACUCUGAGCUAAACACCAAGCAUAAACCAGUCAAUGAGGCGGUCCCAGUAAGAUUAACCAUUUACUGUUCACUCUUUCACAUUAACGUAUGGUGAAAACUGUUGAUAAAACAAUACAAAAUAUAUACAGUAUUUGUUUCCUAAUUGACAUCACAUUUACAUCAUAAAUACUUGCAAAAGUAAAACUACAACAACUAUAUUACAUUAAAGUGCAACAUACAGUCAGAAUCUACCUAUGCCAUAGACUGGCUUUAAAUACACUUCACACAAACUAUCCGCAACUCGUUAAAUAACAAAAACAUAAACUUUAUCAACCGUUGUUACUUUUAACAGAAUCAGCGUUAACAUUUUUAAUUCAACAUAUCGAUCAUCUCAUGAACUUACGUCGUUGCUUCACUAAUGCUUCUAGUGCAUAGAAAGAAAACUUCUCGCGCUGAUCCUGCACACACAAGCCCCCUCCUUCCCGUUUCUCCAAACCGGUAUUUACCCACGACGUGGCGAAACCGGGUGUGAUGUCAUCGCAUGCAGCGAUAUAUCACAGACAACGAAUUUACUUUAAAUAAUCCUAACUUUAACUAGAAAACGAUAAGAAACGAAUUAGUAAAGAGAAACUAUAAUAAACUAAACAAAUGCCGUAAAGGCAACACACUCCCCGCCUGACCUUCGUAGGGUCACAAUGAACAUAAUACAAAACUUCAGUCUCUAGAUCAGUCCUUAGGUAGAAGUAGAAUGACUUCUGCAACUGGCCUUUGGUAAGUUUUCACAUCACCUUGGUCAGAAGUUUUUAGCUCAACCUUCCUGACAUGUCCAUCCCUACGAGGGAAUGUGGCAGUGAUUCUGGCCAUUGGCCAGCUGUUGCAGGCGAUUUGCUUGUCCCUGAGCAGGACUAAAUCUCCAACUUGAAGAUUCCUGCAGGGUUCUGUCCACUUCUGUCUGUGUUGCAACAAAGGUAGAUAUUCAUGUCUCCAACGAGACCAGAACCGACUUGCCAGAGCCUGGACCUGUCUCCAUUGCUUUGUGUACAAAUCUUUAUCAGAGAAGUCCCCAGGUGGAGGGGGGGGCUCCUGCCUUCUGCGUAAGGAGCAUUGAUGGCAAGAGUAUGAAGGGGUUUUCCGGGUCAGAAGACACGGGUAGGAGUGGUCGUGCAUUUAUAAUGGCUGUGACCUCUGCCAUUAGUGUGCACAGUACCUCGUGGGUCAAUCGGGUGCGUUGCUGCAGAAACAUUGAAUCAAGAAUUCUUCUGGCGAUACCGAUCAUCUGCUCCCAUGUGCCUCCCAUGUGAGAGGCGUGUGGAGUGUUAAACUCCCAGUUGCAUCCCAGCUGACUGAGGUACUUUUGCACCGUUUUGUCCAUCCCCAGCUCCUUGGACGCUCCAACAAAGUUUGUACUGCAAUCAGACCUUAACUGUUUUGCAGGGCCUCUUAGUGCAAAGAAGCGCCUGAGAGCGUUAAUGCAGCUGGAUGUAUCCAAAGAUUCAAUGACCUCAGUGUGUACCGCUCUUGAACUCAUGCAGCUAAACAUGAUGGCCCACCGCUUGCUCUCUGCUUGUCCUCCUCUGGUGUGUCUCGUAGUGAUAGUCCAGGGACCAAAUACAUCGAGCCCCACUUAUGUAAAAGGAGGGCAGGCUUCAAGGCAUUCUGGUGGGAGGUCCGCCAUACGUUGAGCUUCCAGCUUCCCUCGCAGUUUCCUGCAGGUCACACAUUUACGAAGUACUGAAUUGAUCAGUGUUUUACCUCCCAAGAUCCACAGUCCCGCUGCCCUUAUUGUUCCUUCCGUCAGGUGACGGCCCUGAUGCUUUACCUGUUCAUGGUGAUGGCGAGUGAGCAGUAAGGACACAUGGCUGUCUUUGUGCAGGAUUACUGGACUCUUUUCUGCAGCUGGAAGUUGGGAGUGUAUUAACCGGCCUCCAAUGCAGAUGAUACAGUUCUUCAGGAUCGGGUUGAAUUUCCUCAAAGGGCUGUCCUUUGGUAUUGGUUUAUUAGCUUGGAGAGCUGAAAACUCCCUGCAAAAGCUGCUCUUUGAGUUGCUUUAAAGAUGAUGUCCUUUGCCUGGGCCAAUUCAUCCGCAGUUACAUUUGCACCAUAAGAAACGGAGGAAAUUGCGAUGGUCCUCCUGUACUAAGAAGCAAUGGAACAUCUGCUGGAUGUCCGCUAAGAUUGCGACCUUCUCCUUCCGGAAGCGCAGCAGGACCCUGAGAAGGGUAUUGUUAAGGUUGGGGCCUGUAAGGAGCACGUCAUUAAGGGAGAUACUAAUGCACUGAGCACUGGAGUCAAAGACAACCCUGAUCUGAUUGGGCUUUUGUGGGUGGUAAACCCCUUACGUUGGGAGGUACCAGCACUCCUCACCUUCCCUCAGUGGCAGUGCUACUUCAGCAUGUCCAUUAGCGAAGAUCUUCUCCAUAAAUGCUACGUAUUGUUGCUGCAUCUCAGGUUUCCUUUUCAGGGUUUUUUGCAAGGACGUGAACCGCUUGACUGCCUGCUCUUUGUUGUUUGGCAAAUGCUGGUGUGGUUCUCUGAAAGGUAGUGGGGCGACCCAAUUAUUUGCUUCAUCUCUGAAGACCUUGGUGUCCAUUAUUUUUAAGAAAAUGGCGUCUUGUGCUGAUGGAGCAAGUUUAUUAUGCUCAGUUUGAGCGAAAACUGACUGACCCAGCGUCUUGUCGGUGACUUUACAUUUGUUAAAGCCUUGUCGUGCUUCCUUGAUACACAUGAAACUUGUGCAGGGUUGAAAAAUUGAAUGGCGGCCACUCUCUAGCACAUUGGUCUUGAGUGUGUUAACUGUCGGUUUGUGUACAUUGCCAGGACACACCUCUCCUAUCACCACCCAGCCCAGAUCCAGGCAUUGGGCAAAGGGGGCGUUGUGUGGUCCAUUGACCUGCUGCCUUACCUUGUGCACCUGGAGAACAUCUCUUCCUAAUAGCAGGAGUAUUUCUGCUUUUGGAUCCAGUUCUGGGAUGUGCUUGGCAAUGUGGUGGAGAUGUGGCUGGUGUAGCACCGCACUUAGCGUCGGGAUCUCAGUGCGGUUAUUCAAAAUUUCAUUGCACUCUAAGAGUGGAGGGAGACAGAUAAUAACUUUAUCAUCCAGGGACUUGAGCUGGAAGCCUCCUGCCUUCCUUCCAUAAGUUUCCACGCUGCCUGAGCAAGUUCUAAGGUAGUAUGGGAACUGAUUACUCUCAAUGUUGAACAAGUCACAGAACUCUGGUCCAGAAUUCUGAUCGUCCAGAAUUACGUAGGCUUGUGGCCUUGUCUUUGGCUCCCUUAGGGUACACCUUAGUGAGACAGAUCUUUGAACAAGAACGGCUUGACUGAGCUUGACCGCAAACUUCUGUGCAGCUCGAGCUGACAACGGUUGUCCUGGAGUGAGCCUCUCCCUCCCCGCCGUCCUGUUGUGGGGGUAAAGGAGCUUUGUCGGUUUGCAGUAAUGGGCCGGGAUACUUGGCCCCAUCGUGAUUAGUGCUAUUACAUUCCGGGCACUUCACAGAGAUCAUACACUCUCUAGCAAGGUGAGAGGUCGAGGAACAGCAUUUAAAACAUUUUUUUCUCCUUGAGAAGGGCCAUCCUCUCUUCAAGGGGUUUUUUCCUAAACGUUCUGCAUUUUUUGAGGGGGUGGGGUUUGUUAUGCAAUGGACAAUUCUUGCUAGGGUCAUUGUUAGUUGUAAAGACUUCAGUUUUACACACUGAGACAGGUUUAUUAAUGUUGAAAUUAUUCGAAGUGGAUUUGACUGGCUUGGUGUGAAUUGUACUGUUACCUGGACUCAUGAAGCUAGGGUCGUUUCGCUUCUUCGCCUCCUUGCACACAAACCUAGUGAAAUACUCAAAGGGAGGAAAUCGACUAUCGUUCUCUUCCUUGUACUCUGAGCCAACAGACACCCACCUUUCCUGCAGCCCAAAUGGAAGUUUGUCCACGAUUGAUCUAAUCCCGUAUGGAGUAUCUCGGUAUGAUAGACCAGUUGAGUAGCCAUCUUCUUUGGUGCCUUGAAUCUCCAUAAGUAAAUCUCCGAGCUCUCUUAACCUAGUGUGGUCCUUGGCUGACGCCUUAGGAAAAUUUUCCAGAUGUCCGAAUAGUGCCGUUUCAAUAAUUUCAGGGGCCGCAUAGCACUCCCGAACUCUCUCCCAUGCUUUGCGUAAGGCUAGCUUGGGGUAGUUGAUGUACACUGAACGUAUGCGUCUCACCUGUUCGCAUGAUUCUUUUCCCAGCCAUUUCAUCAUACGAUACAACUCUUGGGUUGCUCCGAGCUGGACUCCAUGGAUAGCAUUGGCAAAUGUGGAGUACCAUGCACGGUAAUUUUCAGGUUUAUUGUCGAACUGGUAUAGUCCUGAAGUGACGAGAUCUCGUCGUGCUAAAUACUGUGCCAUGGGUUCAACUGCAAGAGGCAUGCUGGCUGGGGGAAUAUGUCGGCGGGUAUAUGACUGAGGGUGUACACUUGUUAUGGAAUUUGCUGUUCUGAAUUCAGCCUUUGCCUCUCUUCUCACCAAAUCUGGUAAGUUUGGUGUUGAGAAGUAUCUGUUAUCAGCCCUUUCAUUCUUGAAUUCAUCGCAGAGUUGCAAGGGUAAAUUGUCUUCCUCGGAUGGAUGUGAUGCAAUUGGGCCUCUCUGAGACUCCUCGUGAGGUGGGAUGUUAGCAUAUAAGUAUGGAGAGGAAGAACGAAUCUUCAAGUCCAUUUGAGAUCGGACAUAGUCGCUUGUGCGUUCCAAUCUGGUCUUUUCUGAAGUAGAUUUUACGUCAACUAGAUCAUGCAUUUCUUCAGCAUUUUCUAUUAUCUCUGCUUCCACCCUGGCAGCUUCUGCUUCUCGGUGUAGCGUCAGCACUUCUAACUCUGACUCUAUCCUUACCUUUUCCAACUGGUUUUCGGCUUCUCUGGCAGCCACUUCCUUCUGGUUUUCAGCUUCUCUGGCAGCCGCUUCCUUUCUCAAUUUUGCUUCUUGUUCGGUGUACAACGCUCGCACCUUGGCGGCUUCUGCCUUAGCUCUUGCACGGGCGGCCUUACUUGUUGAUGCCCUACUGCCCCUGUCGCUGGAUGGCAACGACUUGAUGUUGGAUCGAGUUGUCAUUGCAGCACUUGAAACACCCGAUAGUGCCGCCUUUUCACUGUAGUGUUCUCGAUCAGGUGUAAAAGAACUCUGAACUAAACACCAAGCAUAAACCAGUCAUUGAGGCGGUCCCAGUAAGAUUAACCAUUUACUGUUCACUCGUCCACAUUAACGUAUGGUGAAAACUGUUGAUAAAACAAUACAAAAUAUAUACAGUAUUUGUUUCCUUCUUGACAUCACAUUUACAUCAUAAAUACUUGCAAAAGUAAAACUACAACAACUAUAUUACAUUAAAGUGCAACAUACAGUCAGAAUCUACCUAUGCCAUCGACUGGCUUUAAAUACACUUCAACACAAACUAUCUGCAACUCGUUAAAUAACAAAAACAUAAACUUUAUCAACCGUCAUUACUUUUAACAGACUCAGCAUUAACAUUUUUAAUUCAACGUAUCGAUUAUCUCAUGAACUUAUGGCGUUGCUUCUCUAAUGUUUCUAGUGCGUAGAAAGAAAACUUUUCUCGUGCUGAUCCUGCACAUGUGAGCCCCCUCCUUCCCGUUUCUCCAAACCGGUAUUUUCCCACAAGACGCGGCGAAACCGGAUGUGACGUCAUCACAUGCCACGAUAUAUCACAGACAACAAAUUUACUUUAAACAAUCUUAACUUUAACUAGAAAAUGAUAACAAAUGAAUUACUAAAGCAAAAAUAUAAUAACCUAAACAAAUGCCAUAAAGGCAACACAACCACAUUUUGGAAGAUCUGGCUGCCCCCCUCCCACCUGUAUACAUGUUAGGGAACUGGAGCUGCAGCUCGAUGACCUUCGUCUGGCCAGGGAGAGUGAGGAGGUGAUAGAGAGGAGCUAUAGGUAGGUAGUCACCCCGGGACCCCAGGAGACAGAGAAGUGGGUAACAGUUAAGUGACUAGUGGUGUGCUGCGGAGUCCAGUGUUGCUUGUCAUCUAUAUCAAUGAUCUGGAUGAAUAACUGCGACUUUGCAGAUGAAACCGAGAGGGUGUGUGGUGAACAGUGAGAAAGACCACCAUGGCUUGCAGCAGGAAAAAUGGGCUGAAAGAUGGCAGAUGGAACUUAACGCAGACAAGUGCAAGGUUCUGCACUUUGGGAGGACAAAUUCAGUAAUUACACAGUGAGUUGUAGGACAUUGAUAAGUGCGAUAGAACAAAGGAAUCUGGGAAUGCAAGUCCAUAAUUCCUUGAAAGUGCUGUCACAGGUAGAUAUGGUUGUAAAGAGAGCUUUUGGCACAUCAGCCUUCAUAAAUCUGGAGUUGCGAUGUUAUGUUGAAGUUGUAUAAGAUGUUGGUGAGGUCUAAUUUGGAGUAUUGUGUAAAGUUCUGGUCACCUAGAUCUACAGGAAAGACAUGAAUAAGAUGCAAAGAGUGCAGAUAAAAUUUACAAGGAUGUUGUCAAAGUUGAGGACCUGAGUUAUAGGGAAAGGUUGAAAAUGCUAGGACUUCAUUGUGUAGGAGAAUGAGGGGAGAUGAGAUUGAAGUGUCAAAGAUUAUGAAGGGUACAGACAAGGUUAAUGCAAGUAGGAUUGGGUGAGAAUGGAAAAUGCAGGUCAUAGGUUAAGCUGAGAGGUGAACUGCUUAAGGGGAACAUGAGGGGCAAGGUUUUUACGCAGAGGGUGGUGAGAGUGUGGACCGAGUUGCCUGUGGAAGUAGUGGAUGUGAGUUUGAUUUCAGCACUAAUGAGAAAUUUGGUUAAGUGCAUGAAUGGGAGGAAUAUGGUUUUCAUGCACUGCGUGCAUUUUGACGUGGGAACACCUUCUAAUAAAAUAUCCAGCAACAAGUUUGGAAUGUUUCCUCUCCCUCAUUGUUCAGAGUCCUUGAAACCUGUGUACCACUCCCUUACAUUGAUCCAAGUGCAUUGUAAAGUUCCCAGAUUGGAUAAGACAGCAAACAAUUGUCAUUUCCUAUUUUAUGUGUUGCAAAGUGCUGCAUUGUUUGGCAAGAUCUAUGUGAUUGUACAACUUAUGCUUGAGAAGAUAGAGCCAAAUGCAUUGCCAAAUCUCUGGAUAAGCGAAAUCAGUGUCUCAGAGAAAGCAACCUUAUGGUAUGCAGUUUCUGGUGCUGAAGUGUUUGAUAUAUUAUUUCAUAAUAAUAUAUUUCAUUAAUUUAUUUCAUUGUAUAAAUUAAGCUUGAGAAUUCAGAGCCAAAUGUAUCAUAACAUUUACGGAAGAGUUAUGGAAGAAAGAGUACACAAUUGCCACUAUCCAUAAUAAAACCAUGUUGUAACUUGUUGCAAACAA